GAGGCAUAUAAUGAGGGUUCUUAUUAUGGACUAUAGACAGCUGGGGUUUUCCCAGUGUCCAGGCAGACAGAGACGGUGAUGCUACCACAAAAAUGGCCCCUGCACAGAAGGAGCAGGAGAUAGGCUUUCUUGCUGGUUGCUGCUGACUGCCUGGAACUUGACUCAUUGCUGAAUGCGGGAGAGAGCGUCCGCGUGGAGAGCGGCAUUGUAAUAGUGCCACCCACCAGAACACGCACUGUGCUAAGGAAUGCCCCUUGGAGGUGCACUCGUGAGCAAACGUGAACUGGCAGGUCUCCCACGGGGGAGCUAAGCUGAAGUGGGGGGACCUGCAGCAAAUCAGGGGAUGUGGCAGUGAAGAAAAGAACUGGAAAGAAACCACACUGAGCUCCAGUAACGCUAGCUGCUUGGUGGGACCUGCUGUCUCCAAGCCAGUGAGCUCCAUGUCCAGGCAGGAAUGUUUGUGUGCAAGCCACCCGCUCUUGGGAAAGCCUCCUGCUGCACCCCGAGGCGCAAAGGGCAGAGUUAAGAAGGAAGCCACAGCCCCAUCUAAUGUCACCAGCUUCCUUUAUCUUUACAGUCAGAUUGGCAAAGUAAAGAAAAGCACUUGAUACAAGAUGUUUAAAUGCCUCUCCUCUCCCUCCCCUGCCUCCUCGAGGUCUCCAUUGAUGACGUCAAUUUUCAUUGUCCAACUGAGCUGAUAAUGCAGAGGAAGGAAAAGGGAUGAACUGUAACCUGUAGUUUGUUUGUUUGGAAACUUUAUUAACAAUCCACACAUGGUUUAAGACCAAAACAGUCUUUUAUUGAGAGUGGGAGAGUGAAAAUGAACCAAUCUAUGCAACCCUGCUAGCUCACACCCAUUUACAAAUCUGCUCUGAGCACUUUCAAUCCAAAUGCAUUGCUCAUGUACGGACUCUGCUCCUGCAAGCUCUCGCACAGAGCACGCAAGGCUGUGGUUGCUGUGGAGGCUAUUCCUGGGGGCACAGAUAAGAUCCAGCCAAAAAUGUAGCAGUAAUACAUAGCGUGAUGUUGGUGCUCCUAUGUGUAAGGGAUCACCCUUAAUCUCGAAUCUCAUUGAACCAGCAGGGGAGCAUAUCCUUCUCUUUUUAAUCUUGUGUUCCAAUUUUUUUCCCGCCCAAAUGUUAGACAGCCAGAUCUGUCUGGGGGUUGAUUCCCUCUUGCCCUGCCCUUACAUCCUUUUUGUUUCCUACUUAAAUUCAGCUGAACUCUGCUGAAUAGAGCAUGUUUUUUUUUAAUGGCCAGGUUAUAAACCCCUUGGGAAAAGAUGAAGUUGUCUGUUAACUGCUAACAGGCCACUACCUAAAGCAGUCUUACGGGGCCUUAUUUUUGUGCUGCUCUGUUUAUAUGGUUGGCUUUGAUACCUACCUAGCUUUUAAGGGUUGCCCUGGUGUGUUCCUGUUUGGGAUAACCUAGCAGUUGACAGAUUAUUGGUGAAACAACCUCUGACCAUGUUCUCAAUUCAGCAACAACAAAUUCAUUUUCUGCCCCUUGUAAAAAAAAAUGUGUGAGUGUGAAGCAUUGUUGGAACACGACAGCAAUAAAUUACAAUGAGAUUAGAGCAAAUCCCUGCUGAACAUCCCUGAAGGCAGCGGCUGCUACCAUGUUAGUUAAUCUUGUGGCCUUUAUAGGGAGAAGCCUUAUUGGCCUGGCUGUUGAGACUUCAUCUACUUUGUAGAGCCAAUGGGGUUAUGAGGCUGGAUAACUAGCUGCUUCUUUAGGCCCAUGAAUAUGGAUUUAGGACCAGAAUUGCCAAAAGUUGUUCAUGAUUUUUGGGUGCUCAACUUUGAGAUGCCUUUUAAAGGGGCUUGGCUGUUUCAGAGGGUGAGUGCUCGGCACUUAUGGAAUAUCAGGCCCCUUUAAGGUGUCCUAAGUUGGCCAGACAGUUACUUGGCUAAUGCCUCGGCUGUUUGUAAACAUUGUCCUCCAUCCUCUUCCCUGUGAGAUUAUGCAGCCUCGCCGACUGCAGUAUUUGUGAACGCGUCCAGAAAUGAGCAUGGCCGCGCUCUCAGGUAGGGGAGCACCCAGGUUCAUUGGGACGUGGGGGAGCUGAUCUCUUGUGAGGAGCUCUUCCAAGAUCCAAAGCCUGUCUUCCUGUGCAGCGAAAGCCUCUCGUGGCAAGGUUGGAAAGAGGAGGCGCCAUGCAUGGCAGUGGAAGCUGGCGUGGAGCCGAGCAGAAGACUGCAGUGCCAGCUCCUGUGCUUGCUUUGAGUUGAUCGUCUGUAGGGCUUGCUCACUGUCUGAACCAACAGACACACAUUCUGAAGGGAAAAGUGGAGUCAGACAAAUAACAAAGGCCCACGUGCUCCUGUACGGCGCUCAAGUGGAGGGGAACAAAUCCAAUAAUGGCCAAACUCCAUGACUCCUUGAGAGCUAGGGAUCUUCUCUCCAUCCCCCCACAUCACCAGUCAGGAGGGCCACCGUGGGUUCUGUCACCGUGUAGGUGACAGGAGCUGGAGCUCCUAUCUGACAUCAAGGAAAAUGGUGGUAGUUUCUCCAUCUCUGGAAGGCUUCAGAUCAAGCCUGGAUGCCUUUCUGGAAGAGAUGAUUUAGACAUAUCCAAUUGUUGGGCUCCGUACUGGAGUAACUGGGUAAAAUUAUGUGGUCGGUGAUAUGCAGGUCCGUCUAGAUGAUGUAAUGUUCCCUUCUGGCCUUAAACUCUAUGAAUCUCUCUAGGUAUCUCUGUAGCCCAAUCACAAUGAGACUCCAAGCCCACAAAUAUCAGGCAGCUGCACAGAGGACCCGUGCUGUGAGCUUCCAUAUAGCCCAUCAUCCUCUGCCAUGGAAACCUGUCAGGUCCAUAGCUAUGAACCAGCUGCACCUUGUGCCCCCACAGAUGGGAAUCCUAGAGCACAUUGUCCCAGCUGGACAAGCCCCCAGGGAUUUGUAGGUGGUGUAAGUGCCGUGUAUUGUUAGCUUCUAGCACUUGGCAUCCCAGCACAAUAAACCAAAGGGACAAAGUCAUUAAAAAGUGUAACAAGUUUACCUCCCUUUUGUUGUGUAUUAAAUAGACCAAAUUCUCCCAUUCAGGAAAAAAAAGGCACGUUCCCAUGGUAAAUAUCUGGUGUGGGUAGGGUGCUGCACUGUUGGCCUCCGUGGGACAGAGGAGCGUUACUUGCAACCCAUGAAAUGGGGCUUGAAGUGAGGGGAACUGUCCCAUGACAGCCCCGCACACAAGAGAAGCCGGGAGCCGAUUUAGCACGAGGAGGGGGACGCGCAUGCCAUUGUGCCUACUGAUACAUGCUAGGUGGAAGCUAGGGGACAUGGUCCAGGCUCCAGCUGGCUAGCACGUAGACAGUAUGUGCUAGCCAGGGGUUCCAGCUGUUCCUCUGAGCCCACCCCAUGUGCUCUCUGCCCUGCCCUGAGUCAUCCUGCCCUGCUCUGUCCCCAGCUCAUUGAACCCUCAUAUGGUUUCAACCUCUAUGCUUCUUCCUCACUCCUCCAUGCUCCUACCCAGGGCAGGAUAUUACGCCAGCUAUUUACUAGGGGCAUCUGUCGUUGCCCAGAGUUUCUAACCCAUCCAGGGCUGGCUGCCUUCUCCUAGCAGGCAUAAUGACUGUUACACCUGAGUAAAUAAAGAGCAAAGAGAGGAACGUGCUGAUCAAGAGAUUUGCCGGAGACGCCAUGAGCAGAUUUAUGCGUUCGGAACAUAGGGUCUUUUAUGUUUGGGUUGCAGGUAACCAGCCUGUUAAGAGAAACAAACAAAAAUAUCCUCUAAAGUUUAGCAGAAAACCAAGGGUUUAUUCUGCAGGCAACACUGAGGGCUUGUUGUCUGGCUGAGAGACCCACUAAGUUAUCCAGCUUCUUAGACAAUAUAAUUAACCCUGGGACUGAGCCCCUACAGAUACAGUAACUAUGUGUGCAGCAUACAUAAAAUGUCUGACAACUGGUGGUGUGUGUGGUAUAUUGAAAACAGUGUUAAUUAAAAUUGUGAUCUAUCACUUUAAAUUCUCAGAGGUUUUCCUUGUCCUGCUCGCAGUUAUGGGGCUCUGUAGGGAAGUGUCACAUGCCAGUACUAUCUGUGUCACUUUGCAGCGAACUAGGCUAGAGUGAGGUGGAGUGAGCUGUCCCUCUCUGUUAGGGAGCAGCCUCCUUUGUGUGUCUCUGUUUUGGGGAUUCUUGUAUCUUAUCAUUCUACAUUCUAAGAAAUAAAGUACUGUUACACUGCA